AUUGAACGCUGGCGGCAGGCCUAACACAUGCAAGUCGAACGGAGCGGCGGACGGGUGAGUAAUGCAUAGGAAUGUGCCUGGUAGGGGGGGAUAACUACGUGAAACGGGGGCUAAUACAGCAUAAUAUAAGAGGGGCCUAGGUCGGAUUAGCUAGUUGGUGGGGUAAAGGACGACCAGGGGGACGAUCCGUAACUGGUCUGAGAGGAUGACCAGUCACACUGGAACUGAGACACGGUCCAGACUCCGACGGGAGGCAGCAGUGGGGAAUAUUGGACAAUGGGCGAAACCCUGAUCCAGCCAUGCCGCGUGUGUGAAGAAGGUCUUCGGAUUGUAAAGCACUUUAAGUUGGGAGGCGUUACCAACAGAAUAAGCACCGGCUAACUUCGUGCCAGCAGCCGCGGUAAUAC
rnacentral:rRNA from 1 species